rnacentral:rRNA from 1 species
UACGGAGGGUGCGAGCGUUGUCCGGAAUCACUGGGCGUAAAGGGCGCGUAGGCGGCCUGAUAAGUAGGGGGUGAAAUCCUGCGGCUUAACCGCAGGGCUGCCUUCUAAACUGUCAGGCUAGAGCACGGUAGAGGCAGAUGGAAUUCCUGGUGUAGCGGUGAAAUGCGCAGAUAUCAGGAGGAACACCGGUGGCGAAGGCGGCCUGCUGGGCAGUAGCUGACGCUGAGGCGCGACAGCGUGGGGAGCAAACAGG